GCAAAAGAAUUACCAGCAACAGAAGUAUCAGUCUGAGCAAUAGAGGCUACUUGUGGAGAUGUUUGCUUACUUGCUCGAUAUUUAAGGAACUCAUUGUGCUCCCCUUCAGAUACAGAAAAUCCCUGAUUACCUGUAGUCUCGGUCUGAGCAACAUAAGCAUCUUUGGGUGGUCGACCAUGUAAAGAAUAGCACACGUCACGAGUGUGACCAAGUUUAUGACAAUA
rnacentral:lncRNA from 1 species